rnacentral:lncRNA from 1 species
UAUCAAUUUCUACUAUGUACUGGUUUUCUACAGGCUGUCUUUGCAAGCAUGUCAACAGUGUCAUGCUUUGAGAUGCCAACAUGUGAUGGAAUCCAAAGGAAUUUAAUUUCAAGUCUGUUUUCUUUAGCAGCUGAAACAUUCAUUCAGAUAUCACUGACUGUGUUCUGGGUGUUACUACUUUGUGCGUUCAACACCAGGAGUGCACUCUGCAAGUCACAGUAUAAAAGUUCACUGCCUUUUUCUUUUAAAAAUUCAAUGGCAAGAAACAGUGAUAGACAGUUGGAACAAGUUAUGUGAGGUGGUGGAGGCCAAAGCAGCCAGUACAGUAGUUUCAAAGCUAUAUACGACAAAGAGUGCUGAGAAGACAUGACACCAAGAGCAUAGAUCUCAUCCUGUAACUGCACUUAGUAAUCUCUUAUGGUCUGAAGGGGGGAAAAGGAAUAUCGAGCAGUACUCAAGACGAGAGAGCAUGGGCGAUUUGAAUAAUAUAAGUAUGUAUUGCGAUGGGAUCCCUGGAUUUGAAGGUUCUUGUAAUCCAUCCUAACAAUCAGCCUGUGUCAUGUCUCAACAAAUCAAUUACUGUGGUAAAUACAAUAAUAAAAUCUUUUAAAAUAUA